AAGCAAAGAAAAGUAGGAAUAAACCCCCGUACCUCUUGCAUGACCGUUUAGCAAGGACACACAGACAAGGCGCCACCCUAGUCCGUCCCCCCGAAUGCAAGUGAGCUAUUUUUGGGUAGUUUCAUAGAACUAACCCAUUUCUGUAGCAAAAGAACGGGAAAACCUAAAAAUAGAGGCAAAAAACCAACCGAACUUGCCGAUAGCUGGUUGCCUGAUAAACGAACCUGAGUUCGACCUUUGGUACCACAUAAGCCAACUAAAUAGCACAACUUACGCCAAAGAACUAGUCAAUGAAGGUACAGCUCCAUUGACACAGGAUACAGCCUUUACCAGAGAGUAAACCCAACACACAAAUAAUGUUGGCUUCAAAACAGCCACCAGAAAAUAUUACGUUACAGUAACUAAACAAAAAUACAACACACCACCACCUCCUGGCAAAUACCCGGGCUAUUCUACCCCCACUAGAAGAGACGAUGCUAAAACUAGUAAUAAGAAACAUUCUCCAGACAAAAUUUUACACUUAUCAGACCCACUUAUACACGGCAACAUGGCACCUUCUACACGGACCAUAAAACAAACUGUAAAACCAACCCAGGGUUGUCAACGGAUGACCAACAGCCUAAAAAGGAACUCGGCAAACAACCUCUCCAACUGUUUACCAAAAACAUAGCCUUUAGACUACCACAUAUUAAAGGUACCGCCUGCCCAGUGAGGGCUCCAACCCUUAAACGGCCGCGGGUAUUAACCGCGCAAAGGUAGCAAAAUCAUUUGUCCUCCAAAUAAGGACCCGUAUGAAUGGCCACAUGAGAGAGGAACUGUCUCUUUAGGCCGGCCAAUGAACCUAAACUGCCUGUACAAACGCAGGCAUACAAAAACAAGACAAAAAGACCCUGUGAAACUUUAAAUGUCCAUCAAGCACACCAUGAUCAAGACAUUUUUGGUUGGGGCAACCAAAGAGAAACACAAAUCUCUACAACCCGUCACGCGGCAAACAGGCCAAAUGACGCCAACUUAAGACCCAGCAUCACUGACUAAGGAACCAAGCUACUCCAGGGAUAACAGCGCCACAUUCUUAAAGAGUCCGUAUCAGCAAGAAUACUUACGACCUCGAUGUUGGAUUAGGGUAUCCCAAUGGCGCAAAAGCUAUUAAGGGCUCGUUUGUCAACGAUUAAAA
rnacentral:rRNA from 1 species